UAAAAAUUUAAUUUAAAAUAUUUAAGUAGUAUUAGUUAAGAUCUUUAAAUUUAAAAAAUUUGGCGGUAUUUUAGUCUAUUCAGAGGAACCUGUUUUGUAAUCGAUAAUCCACGAUGGAUCUUACUUAAAUUUGUUUUAGUUUAUAUAUCGUCGUUAAAAGAAUAUUUUAUAAGAAUAAUAAUUUUCUUAAUUUUUGAAUUUAAAAUAUAUCAGAUCAAGAUGUAGCUUAUGUUUAAGUUUAUAAUGGGUUACAAUUAUUAUAUUAUUGGAAAUUAAUAUGUAAUUUAUUAUUUGAAAUUGGAUUUGAUAGUAAAUUUAUAUAGAUUAAUAAUUUGAUUAUAGCUCUAAAAUAUG
rnacentral:rRNA from 1 species